rnacentral:tRNA from 1 species
GGGGAUUUAGCUCAGUGGUAGAGCGCUUGCCUAGGAAGUGCAAAGUGCAAGGCCCUGGGUUCGGUCCCCAGCUCCCA